rnacentral:rRNA from 1 species
UUUUCUUCGGAACUGAAGAUUUGGUGACUGAGUGGCGGACGGGUGAGUAACGCGUGGGUAACCUGCCCUGUACAGGGGGAUAACAGUCAGAAAUGACUGCUAAUACCGCAUAAGACCACAGCACCGCAUGGUGCAGGGGUAAAAACUCCGGUGGUACAGGAUGGACCUGCGUCUGAUUAGCUGGUUGGUGAGGUAACGGCUCACCAAGGCGACGAUCAGUAGCCGGCUUGAGAGAGUGAACGGCCACAUUGGAACUGAGACACGGUCCAAACUCC